rnacentral:lncRNA from 1 species
UUACAUCACAGGGUAAAAUUAUGUACAUCACAGGGUAUUUGGCUGCUGCAAACAAUAUGACAUGAUUUAUGUGUGGUCUUGGCAGGAACUUAGAAUCAACCAACAUAUACUCAAUAACGAUAAAGAAAGUGAAAGACCAGUAAUUACUUAAAAAUCUGGUUCCAUUCCAUCAUACUGACUAAUGAUUCAAAAUCACUUAGAUAACAUAUUAAACUUCAUAGUAUCUGCCGUUGGCUGCAUUGUAUCUUCAUAUUCACAUCUUCUGUUGGUUGGAUUGUAUCUUCAUACCCUCUCCAAGCAGUGAAAAUCAAAAGCGAGUUAUUUCAUUUGCGCUUGUUCUUGCAGGGCAGGUUAUUAACAGUUCAGAGCUUCGACAUAUAAGAAUCAUAAGAAUACCAUUUUAGUUCCGUUCGAUUCAUUUGUUCAAAUCUGUAACAUAUUCAAAAGAAGCUUGAGAAUGGGAACUCAGAAACUUGACUCAAGAACCAUUCCAAGCUUCACCCAUAAAGCUGUCAAAUAUUCUAUAGAAAGACUCCGCAAUGUGUUGUUUGUGAAAAUAUGGUAGACCGUUGUUAUUGGUUCAUAGUAUACAAAUAUAUCUGAAGCACUAUAACUAAUUUCAAGCAUCUCAUGAACUCAAUGAAAAUGACGAGGUGCAACGAAAUUUGAUAGCUACGAUGACUACAAAGACAGGAAAAGUACAGCACGGAUUUAGUAUUACUUUCAGAGGUUUAUUAUAACAGAACAGCAAAAGAAUGGUGAAUCACUACCAAGACUAUCGUAAAUGAUCUUCACAACUCUUACUAAAAUACCAAGACAGAUAGACUAUUCAUGAUCUUCAACCCAGACGAAGAAGCAAACCUCUAAUGUUGAAAAGAAUACUGAAUCACCAUCAUCGAAUUUCAUUACAUUUCGGUGGUGGCCAUAGGAAUUGUAGGACAUGGAUUGGUUAACAACAUAAAGAUUAAAGAAGGGAAGAGUAUAUAAUAGAGUCUUGUAAAUUUUUUUAAAAAUACUAACCAUUUCACUUGGGAUCAUUAUACCUGGGAAUAUUACCACCAUUGAUUAAGUUGCAACUUCUGAAAUCGAACGGCUGACGAAGAAGAAUGCGAUUUAAGAGGGGAGAAAGGCUUUUGACCCACAACCUCCACGUUCUUGAGUCAACAAUAGUACCGAUUAUGCAGAUCUCUCAAGAAAUAGUUCUUGCAAAACCCAGUUCAUAAAACAUGUUGUUUAGCCCUCGCAAGCCCCUUCGCGGAUCGAUCUCUUAAUCCAAAACGCUCGAUCCCUUCUCCAUUAACACCUGCUCGAUCACCUCGGCGACCACGACCGAUAAUAUUACGCACCGCUACUUCCUCAUAUUUGCCGGAUUAUUUGUACUAAUGACGAUCGCAGAUUUCAUCGCUGGUUGUUGUUGUUGCUAUAUCGAUGGUAGUUGAUUGCUGAUGACAUGGAUGGAGGAGAAGAUGGCAGGGGUUGUGAAAAGUGUAAAGGAUGAGGAAACGACGGUGAAAUCAUGAUUGGGAUAUUUGAGGGAAUAUGAGGCAAGGAGCAUGGAAACUGAUGGGUCAUCAAAAUGAGAUAUUGGC